rnacentral:rRNA from 1 species
AAGUGCGAAGCCGGCCUCAAGAUGAGGACUCCAUAGAGGGUCGUCACAGACGAUGACGUUGAUAGGGCGCAGGUGUAAAGACGGCGACGUCAAAGCCGAGCGCUACUAAUUGCCCGAACGCUUUCGCCGC